GCAGGACCAAAACAGACAGCAGACCCUCGGAGGAAGGAAGUUGCAAUGGUCCGGCUCCAGAUGCGGAGGGCUCGCACGCCCACACCGGCCCCCGCGCGACCCCACACACCUCUCUCUUUGCAUCGCCUUCUUAAAGUCCAGAAGGGGUCCCCGGCUGGCCAGGGGACGCAGGCUGAACCUGCGGUUCCGCACGCGUCUCUGCAAUAUGUACCUUGGCUCUGCACCGCCCCGGGACAGCCUGACCCGAGCCUUCCGAGAAGGUGACUCAGCGACACACUCGCGGGUGGAGAAACUCCCGGAAACAAAAAACUAGAGGAGUUGGAGGAAGCACGGGCGUCAUCAUCCACCCCCAGUGCAGCCGCGCGUGGUCACGGAGAUCUGGUCCUGCACCCACCCCCAUCUCCGGCUUCCCACCUCACACCCCAGGAAUCCAGCGCGGACAGGGGAUGGCGGCUCUGCAGCCGCAGUGCCGCGGUCACGCGCUGCGAGGACGCGAGCGAGCCGUGGUGGGAGGAGGGGGCUCAGUCAGAUCUUACUGCCGCUCGCUCCUCUUUCUGUCCUGUCCCACCCCUUUCCAGAGAUGUGGGGUCCAGGUUGGCUUUGGCAUCUAGCAAACUCAGGAAGCUAUUCUCCCCGAGAUUUCGAGCUUGGAGGGGGCUGGUUGCCCAGGCGCCUACUCCCCCCCCCCCCACAUUUUUGGGGAAAGGGCUGUCUACCAAGCCUGAAAAGCUAGUUGUUAGCAACUGAAGAGGGGAAACUGAGGCAUGGGAAAGGGAAAACCGGGCUGCGUGUAAAUCCAUGCUCUAAAUGCUGACCUGGAGCAGGGGUCGUGCUUUUCCUUGGGGCGUGGGGCUGGAUCCUCUCAGACUGCAGGCCAGCUGGGGCGAGGUUGACGGAAGACUUUGAAUUGGUGAGAGAAGCAGACCCAGCCUGCAAGGCUCUUUAUCCCUGGGCCUCAGGGCCAGUUCCCUUCCUGACCCUGAAGAUCCGGUGGGAGGGGGGGUUCCAGUCUGGCCCCAGUUCCAGUCGGCACAAUGGCUCCUCUGUACUCCCAGCUGCCUCAUCCCCUGGCCUCCUCACCUCUUUGGCCUUUGCCUCUCUUAUCCUCCUUACCCUCCCCCAUCCUGGGCAGCCUUUCUAGACACCAUCCCUUUCUAAAGAACUUUAUCCUAACUCCAGAAACCGUGGAACUGCAUCUCUAGCCCCGGAUCCAGGACUAGACAUGAACAAGAUGUUGGUUUGUGAGCUGGAUGAUGGUGGCGCACGCCUUUAAUCCAGCACUCGGGAGCAGAGGCAGGCGGAUCUCUGUGAGUUCGAAGCCAGCCUGGUCUACGAGAGCUAGUUCCAGGACAGGCUCCAAAGCCACAGAGAAACUCGUCUCAAAAAGCAAAACAACAACAAUAAAAAGAUGUUGGUUUGUGUUUGUGAAA